GAGCCCAGGCGGCGGUGGCGGUGGCGGGAGCCCGGGAGCCCGGCGCAUUGCUGAGGGGUGACUCACAGCCGGGGAAGGGAAGGAAUGCCCUCGCAUUCUUUCGGGAGGUAAACAAGGUCAGGGAGGGCAAGCCGGGAUCCUGUUUACCUGACCCUGGCCCCCCCAGCCCCACUCCCCUGGGGACCAGGAGCCAGGGCAGGACAACACCCUGGAGCAGAACCAGCCAGACCUCAAGGAGCGUCCACAAAGACACUGGUCGAACUCCGGGAUUCCUUGAUGCUGGGCCCCUGCAGGAAUGGCCAGGAAGGGCCAGAGCUGAGCCUCUAGUCCAGGAUCUCGGAGACAAACCUCCCACCUUGACCCUUUGCCAACUGCACAGCAGACAAGCUGCCCACAGGAAGGGGCUGCCUCUCUGCAGCACACCCUCCAUCCUCUGCAGGUACCAUGCGGGACCCCAAGGCAUGGUCGCCAGUGGCCACUGUGGAGAUGAAGCCACCCGGCCUAGUGGCCUAAGAGCAAGGACCUCAGGAUCAGCCCGGCCUGGAUUAAGCCUGGCUUUGCCACUCGCCAGCUGGUGUCCUCAAGCCUGUUCCCUGUCUCCUCCAAGCCUCAAUUUCCUGAUCUGUGACACAGAAUCUCCCAGGGUUGCUGUGACAUUGAGCUGAUACACAUGAAGCACCUGGCACACAGCUCCCUUCCGUGCAGGUGGAGAGAAUCGAGGGGAGAGGACUGAAUUAAGGAGUAAAGUGUAUCCGCCGCUGCCAGACGCAGCCACAACCCAGAAAUAACCAGGAUGUCUAUCUGCAGUAGCAUGGAAUGGGAUUAUUAGACGCCUGUCACAGAGUCUGGGGAGGAAGGAGCUGGACACAAAGAAGUAAAUACUGUGUGAAUCCAUUUCUGUGAAUGUCAAGAAAAAAAGAGAGGAAAGAAACUGUACCAAAGUCAGGACAGGGGUGCUCUUUGGGCAAAAAGGGAGGAACGAGGGGAAGGACGAGGGAGGUUUCUUGAGUGCGGCCAGUGUCUUAUCUCUUGAUCUGGGCACUAUUUGCACAGGUGUGUUUAGCUUGUGACAAUUCAUCCUGCUGGACAUUUACAAUGUAAGCACCUUUCUUUACAUUGCGCUUCAAUAAAAAGUUAAA